rnacentral:rRNA from 1 species
AUACGUAGGGGGCGAGCGUUGUCCGGAAUGAUUGGGCGUAAAGGGCGCGUAGGCGGCCUGUUAAGUCUGGAGUGAAAGUCCUGUUUUCAAGAUGGGAAUUGCUUUGGAUACUGAUGGGCUUGAGUGCAGGAGAGGUUAUCGGAAUUCCCGGUGUAGCGGUGAAAUGCGUAGAGAUCGGGAGGAACACCAGUGGCGAAGGCGGGUAACUGGACUGCAACUGACGCUGAGGCGCGAAAGUGUGGGGAGCAAACAGGAUUAGAUACCCUGGUAGUCCACACUGUAAACGAUGAAUGCUAGGUGUAAGAGGUAUUGACCCUUUUUGUGCCGGAGUUAACACAAUAAGCAUUCCGCCUGGGGAGUACGGCCGCAAGGUUGAAACUCAAAGGAAUUGACGGGG